CAAUGCCAGUGACAGAAGAGUCUGACAUUAGAUCUCUACGCUAUGCGGCACACAGGCAGUACACACUAUGUACACGGCAAAUUGGGCAAGCACGUUCGUUGUCGUCUUCCAGCCUGCGUUGUGAAUACCAUCAGGCAAAGAUAUCCAAAUCCUGCACCACCUCAGCCUUCUCAGGAGGCUUCCACCUGGAAUUUGGCAGGGAAACACGCUUCUCCAAGGCAGGAACAUCGAGGUUGCCAUUUGCAACCGCUACCACCUCACACAUGAGCUUGUCAACAUACUCAUAGCUCUUUCUGUCGUAUAAUUUUCUAUUUGGCCACAGUCUUCUUUAUGCUUUGAGAACUGGACUUUAUACCUUCC